AAUCUACUCCCUCCGUCCGGAAAUACUUGUCGAAGAAAUGGGUAAAACUGGAUGUAUCUACAACUAAAAUGCGUCUAGAUACAUCCAUUUCUCCGACAAGUAUUUCCGGACGGAGGGAGUAGUAG
rfam:Triticum aestivum genome assembly, contig: Triticum_aestivum_CS42_TGACv1_scaffold_361815_4DS